UGGAGUGUGACAUUUGUG
rnacentral:miRNA from 1 species